rnacentral:rRNA from 1 species
CCUGCCCUCCACUUCGGGAUAAGCCUUGGAAACGGGGUCUAAUACCGGAUAUGAGCUCCUGCUGCAUGGCGGGGGUUGGAAAGUUUUUCGGUGGGGGAUGGGCUCGCGGCCUAUCAGCUUGUUGGUGGGGUAAUGGCCUACCAAGGCGUCGACGGGUAGCCGGCCUGAGAGGGCGACCGGCCACACUGGGACUGAGACACGGCCCAGACUCCUACGGGAGGCAGCAGUGGGGAAUAUUGCACAAUGGGCGAAAGCCUGAUGCAGCGACGCCGCGUGAGGGAUGACGGCCUUCGGGUUGUAAACCUCUUUCAGCAGGGAAGAAGCGCAAGUGACGGUACCUGCAGAAGAAGCGCCGGCUAACUACGUGCCAGCAGCCGCGGUAAUACGUAGGGCGCAAGCGUUGUCCGGAAUUAUUGGGCGUAAAGAGCUCGUAGGCGGUUUGUCGCGUCUGGUGUGAAAACCUCAGGCUCAACCUGGGGCGUGCAUCGGGUACGGGCAGACUAGAGUGCGGUAGGGGAGACUGGAAUUCCUGGUGUAGCGGUGGAAUGCGCAGAUAUCAGGAGGAACACCGAUGGCGAAGGCAGGUCUCUGGGCCGCAACUGACGCUGAGGAGCGAAAGCAUGGGGAGCGAACAGGAUUAGAUACCCUGGUAGUCCAUGCCGUAAACGUUGGGCACUAGGUGUGGGGCUCAUUCCACGAGUUCCGUGCCGCAGCUAACGCAUUAAGUGCCCCGCCUGGGGAGUACGGCCGCAAGGCUAAAACUCAAAGG